AGGGUUUGAUCCUGGGGCUCAGGAUGAACGCUGGCGGCGUGCUUAACACAUGCAAGUCGAACGAUGAUCCCCAGCUUGCUGGGGUGAUUAGUGGCGAACGGGUGAGUAACACGUGAGUAACCUGCCCUUAACUCUGGGAUAAGCCUGGGAAACUGGGUCUAAUACCGGAUAUGACUUCUCAUCGCAUGGUGGGGGGUGGAAAGCUUUUUGUGUUUNUGGAUGGACUCGCGGCCUAUCAGCUUGUUGGUGAGGUAAUGGCUUACCAAGGCGACGACGGGUAGCCGGCCUGAGAGGGUGACCGGCCACACUGGGACUGAGACACGGCCCAGACUCCUUCCGGAGGCAGCAGUGGGGAAUAUUGCACAAUGGCGCAAGCCUGAUGCACCACCCCCGUGAGG
rnacentral:rRNA from 1 species